UGGUGGAUUGAUUUGUCUGCUUAAUUGCGAUAACGAACGAGACCUUAACCUACUAAAUAGCUACGCGAACCCUAGGUUCGUGGCCAGCUUCUUAGAGGGACUAUAUAAGACAAUUAUAUGGAAGUUUGAGGCAAUAACA
rnacentral:rRNA from 1 species